rnacentral:rRNA from 1 species
CCUACGGGUGGCAGCAGUGAGGAAUAUUGGUCAAUGGACGGAAGGCUGAACCAGCCAAGCAGCGUGAAGGACGAAGGUCCUACGGAUUGUAAGCUUCUUUUGUAAGGGGACAAAAUCCGCCACGAGCGUAUGACUGAGGGUACUUGAAGAACAAGCCUCGGCUAACUCCGUGCCAGCAGCCGCGGUAAUACGGCGGAUGCGCGCGUUAUCCGGAUUUAUUGGGGUUAAAGGGUGCGUAGGAGGGCUGUUAAGUCAGCGGUAAAAGCCCGGGGUUCAACCCCGCCGAGCCGGUGAAACUGGCUGUCUUGAGAUGUCGACAGGUAUGCGGAAUGCGUAGUGUAGCGGUGAAAUGCUUAGAUAUUACGAAGAACUCCGAUUGCGAAGGCAGCAUACCGGCGU